GGACCAAGGAGUCUAACAUGCCUGCGAGUGUUUGGGUGGAAAACCCGGACGCGUAAUGAAAGUGAAAGUUGAGAUCCCUGUCAUGGGGAGCAUCGACGCCCGGACCAAAAGUUUUCUGACGGCCCUGCGGUAGAGCAUGUAUGUUGGGACCCGAAAGAUGGUGAACUAUGCCUGAAUAGGGUGAAGCCAGAGGAAACUCUGGUGGAGGCUCGUAGCGAUUCUGACGUGCAAAUCGAUCGUCAAAUUUGGGUAUAGGGGCGAAA
rnacentral:rRNA from 1 species